rnacentral:tRNA from 1 species
GUAACUUUAGCUCAGCUGGUUAGAGCAGACGGCUCAUAACCGUCCGGUCGUAAGUUCGAGUCCUAUAAGGUACA